UGUCGUGAGAUGUUGGGUUAAGUCCCGCAACGAGCGCAACCCUUGUCAUUAGUUGCUACGAAAGGGCACUCUAAUGAGACUGCCGGUGACAAACCGGAGGAAGGUGGGGAUGACGUCAAGUCCUCAUGGCCCUUAUAGGUGGGGCUACACACGUCAUACAAUGGCUGGUACAGAGGGUUGCCAACCCGCGAGGGGGAGCUAAUCCCAUAAAACCAGUCGUAGUCCGGAUCGCAGUCUGCAACUCGACUGCGUGAAGUCGGAAUCGCUAGUAAUCGCGGAUCAGAAUGUCGCGGUGAAUACGUUACCGGGUCUUGUGCACAC
rnacentral:rRNA from 1 species